rnacentral:rRNA from 1 species
CACGUAGGGCGCAAGCGUUGUCCGGAAUUAUUGGGCGUAAAGGGCUCGUAGGCGGUUUGUCGCGUCGGGAGUGAAAACCAUGAGCUUAACUCAUGGCUUGCUUUCGAUACGGGCAGACUAGAGGCAUGCAGGGGAGAACGGAAUUCCUGGUGUAGCGGUGAAAUGCGCAGAUAUCAGGAGGAACACCGGUGGCGAAGGCGGUUCUCUGGGCAUGUCCUGACGCUGAGGAGCGAAAGUGUGGGGAGCGAACAGG